GAUGAACGCUGGCGGCGUGCCUAAUACAUGCGAGUCGAGCGAACGGACGAGAAGCUUGCUUCUCUGAUGUUAGCGGCGGACGGGUGAGUAACACGUGGAUAACCUACCUAUAAGACUGGGAUAACUUCGGGAAACCGGAGCUAAUACCGGAUAAUAUUUUGAACCGCAUGGUUCAAAAGUGAAAGACGGUCUUGCUGUCACUUAUAGAUGGAUCCGCGCUGCAUUAGCUAGUUGGUAAGGUAACGGCUUACCAAGGCAACGAUGCAUAGCCGACCUGAGGGGGUGAUCGGCCACACUGGAACUGAGACACGGUCCAGACUCCUACGGGAGGCAGCAGUAGGGAAUCUUCCGCAAUGGGCGAAAGCCUGACGGAGCAACGCCGCGUGAGUGAUGAAGGUCUUCGGAUCGUAAAACUCUGUUAUUAGGGAAGAACACAUGUGUAAGUAACUGUGCACAUCUUGACGGUACCUAAUCAGAAAGCCACGGCUAACUACGUG
rnacentral:rRNA from 1 species